rnacentral:tRNA from 1 species
GCCUUCGUAGUGUAGUGGUCAGCACGCUCGACGCGUAACUGAGUGGUCCGUGGUUCGAAUCCCGGCGAAGGCU